rnacentral:rRNA from 1 species
GAGUUUGAUCCCGGCUCAGGAUGAACGCUGGCGGCGUGCUUAACACAUGCAAGUCGAACGAUGAUCCGGUGCUUGCAUCGGGGAUUAGUGGCGAACGGGUGAGUAACACGUGAGUAACCUGCCCUUAACUCUGGGAUAAGCCUGGGAAACUGGGUCUAAUACCGGAUAUGACUCCUCAUCGCAUGGUGGGGGGUGGAAAGCUUUUUUGUGGUUUUGGAUGGACUCGCGGCCUAUCAGCUUGUUGGUGAGGUAAUGGCUCACCAAGGCGACGACGGGUAGCCGGCCUGAGAGGGUGACCGGCCACACUGGGACUGAGACACGGCCCAGACUCCUACGGGAGGCAGCAGUGGGGAAUAUUGCACAAUGGGCGCAAGCCUGAUGCAGCGACGCCGCGUGAGGGAUGACGGCCUUCGGGUUGUAAACCUCUUUCAGUAGGGAAGAAGCGAAAGUGACGGUACCUGCAGAAGAAGCGCCGGCUAACUACGUGCCAGCAGCCGCGGUAAUACGUAGGGCGCAAGCGUUAUCCGGAAUUAUUGGGCGUAAAGAGCUCGUAGGCGGUUUGUCGCGUCUGCCGUGAAAGUCCGGGGCUCAACUCCGGAUCUGCGGUGGGUACGGGCAGACUAGAGUGAUGUAGGGGAGACUGGAAUUCCUGGUGUAGCGGUGAAAUGCGCAGAUAUCAGGAGGAACACCGAUGGCGAAGGCAGGUCUCUGGGCAUUAACUGACGCUGAGGAGCGAAAGCAUGGGGAGCGAACAGGAUUAGAUACCCUGGUAGUC